GCUCAGCUGCCCUCAGAGUCUGGGCUGGGGAGAGCCGGGGCCCACGAGGCGUGGCAAGGCGGGGAGAGAGAAGCUAGACCUCCCUGCUGCGCUUCUGCAGCGAAAAUGGAGAGACCCGGAAGGCGUGUGUGCGCCCGCCUCUCCCACAGGAGGGAGCGCGGAGACCCGGGAGCGGCCUAGGACCGGAGGCGCGACCCCUCGGCCCACCUUGAGGCCCGGCCUAGGACCGGAGGCGCGACCCCUGGGCCCACCUUGAGGCCCGGCCUAGGACUGGAGGCGCGACCCCUCGGCCCACCUUGCGGGAGCCGCCUAGGACCGGAGGCGCGACCCCUCGGCCCAGCUUGAGGCCCGGCCUAGGACCGGAGGCGCGACCCCUCGGCCCACCUUGCGGGAGCCGCCUAGGACCGGAGGCGCGACCCCUCGGCCCACCUUGAGGCCCGGCCUAGGACCGGAGGCGCGACCCCUGGGCCCACCUUGAGGCCCGGCCUAGGACUGGAGGCGCGACCCCUCGGCCCACCUUACGGGAGCCGCCUAGGGCCGGAGGCGCGACCCCUCGGCCCAGCUUGAGGCCCGGCCUAGGACCGGAGGCGCGACCCCUCGGCCCACCUUGAGGCCCGGCCUAGGACUGGAGGCGCGACCCCUCGGCCCACCUUGAGGCCCGGCCUAGGACCGGAGGCGCGACCCCUGGGCCCACCUUGAGGCCCGGCCUAGGACUGGAGGCGCGACCCCUCGGCCCACCUUGAGGCCCGGCCUAGGACCGGAGGCGCGACCCCUGGGCCCACCUGGCGGCCCGGCCGGCACAGCCCGCCUCUCCUCUCCAGGCCAGGGCCCCACACCUUCCGCCUGACAGCCAGCCAAGCUCUUCAGUCCCCCGCCCUCCACCUGCCAGGGAGGCUCCGGGCGUUGUACCUGCCACCACGGGACGGAGUUUUGCUCUUGUUGCCCAAGCUGGAGUGCAAUGGUGCGAUCUUCGCUUACUGCAACCUCUGCUUCCUGGGUUCAAGUGAUUCCCCUGCCUCAGCCUCCCGAGUAGCAGGGAUUACAGACACAUAUACUCACAGAAAUGAGUUAUUUAAAGAAGACGGUCCAGAUUCCACAGUCCAAAAAAAAAAGAGGUUUGCCCUGCUUCUGAAGGAGUCAGGGUAUGAAUGCAGAGGUCUUCCUGUUGGCUCACAUAUCAGAUCUUCAACGUCAACAUUAAAUGCUGAAAGAACAUCAGUGUAUCAGCACAGCAAAUAUUCCAAAUGCCAGGCUGGAUUCCCUCCAAUUACCAGGACCUCCAGGCUUCUCCUCCUUUCAAGAACUUUCUGACCCUGGAUCCAGUCUAAAUGUUGGUUAUAAACUCACCUGACAUCCACAGGGCCCUUCCAAAAUACUGUCAAGGCUGACUGCUGGUGCCUGGAACCUGCACACCCUCCUGGGACUCUGCAUCUCUGCUGGGGCUGGUUUCUCCUCUGAGCCACCUUAAGGAAUCCCACCCUGACCCGGAAAUACUACGACAAUGGGACUUUGGGAAUGUGUUCUGGAGACUCCACUCCUUGGUGACUACUACAUGGAGCACAGAAAAUUGUCUUGAGUGGCAGCUAUGUGCCAGCAAUACCUGCCUGGCAGAGUUGUGAGAAUUAAAUGAGAUGAUGAAUACAUCUGCUCUCAGCACCACACCACACCUGUGGCAGUCCUCAGAGAGAAGAAUCACAGCUUUCAUUCAUUGAGAGCUCACUAAGUGCCAGAACCAUAGAGCUCAAAGCUUCUCAGCUCAACGGAGAACUCAGCACUUCUUGGACUGAUAAAUAGAGCAGCUUUAAAAUGCUUAGAACUGAAGACAGACCAACUGUGGCGAGAGAAAGUAAACACAUCCAUGCACCAGUCAACCCUAGCAAGCUCCUCGCUGAGAUUACAAACUGCAGUUCCUGCCUGAGCCGGAGAGGAUGCUGGAGCAGGCUGGGGGACCAGAACCACAAACCAGCCCUGGCUUAGCUCUGGCUUAGCUAGCUGUGCCCCAGAAGAGCUGGGUCCUCAGGGAGUCUUCUUGCGGCCCGGUUUGGAUGUUCCUAAGCAUAGAAGACUCUGCCAGUGUGUCCCUCAUUCGUUUCACAUUUGGAAAUGUACCAAGAGAAGUGGGAACCAGCUUUACUCUUUGAUCUAGAUGGGAAUCCUUUCCUUUGCAUUCAAGCUCUCUGUGUACAGGUGUAACUUGCCAGUGAGAGACUUGGGAUUUCUCACAAAAUAGAAUGUGAUAACGACAUAAUUUGAUAUGAAUAUUUGAGGAACUUUAUCUCUGGACAAUAUAUACUUUAAACAUCCCCCUCCCCAAGUCACACACACAAAUUGUUUUUAUGAGAACCAAUUAAUAAAUGCUAAUUCAUUGAGGCA
rnacentral:lncRNA from 1 species